rnacentral:rRNA from 1 species
AGAGUUUGAUCAUGGCUCAGGAUUAACGCUGGCGGUAUGCCUAACACAUGCAAGUCGAACGGAAUACUCGAAAAGAGAAUCUCACACUAGUGAGAGGUUCUCCAACCGAGUAUUUAGUGGCGGACGGGUGAGUAACACGUUGGAACCUGCCCCGAAGUGGGGAAUAACUGCUCGAAAGAGUAGCUAAUACCCCAUAGUAUCCGGUUUAUCCGGAUUAAAGAUUUAUCGCUUCGGGAGGGGCCUGCGUCUGAUUAGCUUGUUGGUGGGGUAAAAGCUCACCAAGGCGACGGUCAGUAGCUGGUUCGAGAGGAUGACCAGCCACACUGGGACUGAGAUACGGCCCAGACUCCUACGGGAGGCAGCAGUGAGGAAUCUUCCACAAUGGACGAAAGUCUGAUGGAGCAAUACCGCGUGCAGGACGACGCUUUUCGGAGUGUAAACUGCUUUUGUCGUCGAAGAUUAUGACUGUAGACGAAGAAUAAGGACCGGCUAACUACGUG